AUAAUCAUGAACUUCAUUCCAAUAAAACCUCCUGUCAGCUCUUAUAGAAUAGGCACUUUUCUAGGUGGUGAGAUGAAGCUUUAUAAAUUACUCCCUCUCACUAGCCUGAAACAGUAGUAGAAUUCCAAAAGAUAGCCUUCUCUCUUAUCUUAAUAUGUUGGUGCGCUGUUCUUCGUCUUACUUGUACCUCAGGAAGCUAAUUAACAGAAAAAAAAUUGUCUCUUUUAUUUUUAAUGAAUAAGAGGCACAUCUCAGCAAAAGUGUGAAAACUUUCAAUUGGCUUGAACAUUUUAUAACCUUUUUCUUCCCCUAAGAGGUACCCAGGACCUCACAAUGAGGUGCAUUGUGAGCCUCAUGCCAAGGUUAAUUUGGCACCUCUGUCACAAAGAGCAUGUGCAGACUCUGACAGGCUUUCAGGGAAGCCACGUCCCCCAUGUGCUCUUCUGGUUUCCUCAUUGGUGUUCAGCAAGAGGAGGCUGGGCUCUUCCCGGGGAGUGGAGUGCUAUGACAGAUGAGACUUUCAUGCAAGAAAAUAAAUCCUGCACAUUUGAUGUACUGCUUUAAACUUAAAGACCUCUUUGGACCCGAAAUUGUAAGGAUUCUAUAAACCUGGAGAGUAAUCCUAAGAAAAAUCAUCAGAAGAAAGGAAUUUGUAGAACUAAAACUGCAAACAUCCAGAAUCUUGAUGGUGUGCCAAGCCAAAUGUCAACUGGAACUCAACCAAAAACUAAAUUUCACAGGCUAGCCUGCGUAACCCUAUUUCAGCCAUAAAUUACCUGAUGUGUAAAAUUCACUGCUCUGUAGAACAUGUCUGAGGAACAUGUGUUCAUUUGUGAAUCUAGGCCUGACUGCCAAACAAGUGACUCUCAGUUCCUGACAAAUACUGAGGGCAUGGGCUCUCCCAGCUCGAGUCAUUCCCAUGGGGCUAGGACUGUGCGUUGGUUGGAGAUGAGACAGCCUUUACUGAUCACAUAUUUCCUCUGUCUUGAAUGGAUAGCAGCAUCGACUAUUGCAAUAAAUUCUCCACUCCGCAGACCUGGGCAGCCCACACCUGUGCCAGAAAUUAUGCACCAGAUGGCAACUGAAAAUGAUUGGAUAUCUAUGAGAAGAGGAUAUUUAGAGAAAAUACACAUUUACAAGUAAAGCAAG
rnacentral:lncRNA from 1 species